rnacentral:tRNA from 1 species
UGUCCGUAUAGUUUAAAAACACUAGACUGUGAAUCUAGAAAUAGAUCUUACGAACCAAGGGUGUA